GAAUAUUUCUGGAAUAUACUUUCUAUAACACAUUUUAUGAAUUGCAGAUUUAUCAUUCUGAAAAUUAAAAAAUGUGUUUUGGUAAGAAUAUUCUAGAAUGGUUUUUUGCCUUCCAGAUUUCCCAUUCUGAAAAUACACUUUGCUUACUGAACCUCUAUCCAUGAAACACCUUUUCUUAUGUAAACCUUAUUCCGGAAUUACUCAAAGUUAUCAAGGAUAAUUUUGGUAUUUCAAAGAAUGUACGGGUGCCAGAAGAAAAUGUAGAGGUGCAGGAAGAAAUACCCAUUUUAAAGAUGCAUAUGCCUAACAAGAGGCUGCUUCUUCCUGCACCUCCAUACCUUCUUGUGCCAUCCCCAUAAAUUUUUCUUAUUCCAAAAAUACCCUUUUCAAUAUUCCGGAUUAUAUAAUCCGAAAGUCAUUUUUUAGAUUCAAAAUUAGCAUCCGGAUUAUGUAAUCCGGAAGUCUUUUGUGAUUAGCUUCCGGAUUACAUAAUCCGGAAGUCUUUUCUAUACAUAAGAUUAGCUUUCGGAUUAUGUAAUCCGGAAGCCUUUUUUUCCGAUGUGUUAUUAGCUUUCAGAUUACAUAAUCCGGAAGUCUUUUCUAAAUAUGAAAUUGACUUCCGAAUUAUGUAAUCCGGAAUUUAUCCGGAUUACAUAAUCCAUAGGCUUAUUAUUUUAAAUCCAAGAGGUGAAAAAAAAGGAUAAAAUGGUAUUUUUAUAUUUAGUAUGGGGGUGGCACAAAAAGGUAUGGAGGUGUAGGAAGAAAGAGUCCUAACAAGAUGACACCAUAUGUUUAUGGGCCUAGAGAUGGAGCCAUGAAGGUUUUAGGUGUUGUGUGCAUGAAGCAAGGUUGAAGGAUGGCCAAUACAUUUUCAAUUAACUUCAAAAUGAACUUUAAAUUUACUUUCACUUCAAAAUAGAAAAUAUGUUAGAAGAAGUGUAUUAUAGAAUGUGUCAAUGUUGUUCUUUUUUUAGUUAUGAUUAUUGUUUAUAUUUAGGAGUCUCAC
rnacentral:lncRNA from 1 species